UGCAGCAACAUGGAUGGACCUAGAGAUUAUCAUACUAAGUGAAAGAUCGACCUCCUUAAACUGAGGAGCUUCCAUCUUUUGGAGCUGAACAGAAAGUGUCUCUAAACAUCAGAGAGCAUCACAGAAGGUUCAAUGAAGUGCACAGUCACCUUUACAGAGGGAUGAUGUCACCACUGGCUUGAAGUUGAAGCUUGACUUCUUCUUACCAGAUGAUCAAUCUCUUUCAUCUUCUUCUUCAGAUCUUCAAAGGAAUAUUUUAUUUUGUCCCUUACAACUUGAUGGAAAAGGUAUGAUUUCAAGAACAUUUAUGUUGGUUGAGGAUUUCUGCGUCUAUGUUCAUCACUGAUAUUGGCCUGUGGUGGAAUAUUACUCAGCCAUAAAAAGGAAUGAA